UGGGCGCAAGCCUGAUGCAGCCAUGCCGCGUGUAUGAAGAAGGCCUUCGGGUUGUAAAGUACUUUCAGCGGGGAGGAAGGGAGUAAAGUUAAUACCUUUGCUCAUUGACGUUACCCGCAGAAGAAGCACCGGCUAACUCCGUGCCAGCAGCCGCGGUAAUACGGAGGGUGCAAGCGUUAAUCGGAAUUACUGGGCGUAAAGCGCACGCAGGCGGUUUGUUAAGUCAGAUGUGAAAUCCCCGGGCUCAACCUGGGAACUGCAUCUGAUACUGGCAAGCUUGAGUCUCGUAGAGGGGGGUAGAAUUCCAGGUGUAGCGGUGAAAUGCGUAGAGAUCUGGAGGAAUACCGGUGGCGAAGGCGGCCCCCUGGACGAAGACUGACGCUCAGGUGCGAAAGCGUGGGGAGCAAACAGGAUU
rnacentral:rRNA from 1 species